UUGGGCACCAAUAGCUGAGAGACCUUUCAGGAAUCUUAGAGUUUAUACAAAUAACUUGUGGGAGUUUUGAAAGUGUAGAGAUAAUGUACUAAUGUAUUGUGUUGUUUUUCAGAAACCCCAAGUCAUACAACAAGAACAAUAAUGCAUACUACUUCCCAUUCACACAUGACUACCAACGGUAAGGCCUUGCAAGUUGGCAGGAGUGCCGUUAAGCCAAGCACCAUUCCAGUGAUCAAGAGACAGAGGCAAAACUGGCUAGAUGCGCCCAGUGAUGAUUACUUUAUAGCUACAGAAGAGACCAGGUUCACUUAUUGUUAGUGGCAAAUGGAAAUGUGUCUAAUGAUCAACUAGGCUAGGAUGGAACAAGAAGAUUGGUGAACUGAACUUAAACUCAAGAACCUGCUUUCGUGUUCCAGAUACUGCCUGAAGAGGGUUAAUUUGUAUACCCUGAACAUCACUGUAACUGACAUUGCAGUCAGAGACAACCCCCAUACUGAAGUCUGUUAAGGAAGCCCAGCUGAAUAAUCAGACCACUUCCUGAACUACUGGCAAGCUCAGAGGAACACAGAAGCUACAGAAAAUUUCGUAAACAGUUCACCCGGUCACAGUUAAAAAGAGCUUCCAGAACACCUUGUGCUCCAAUCACUGUGACGACAAAGUCCCUUGUGAACCACAGGCUAGUAUGGACGGAACCAGCAACCAUCAUGCACUGAAGAUAUAGCAGCAACACAAUCACAUCAGUUUUUUACAUUGCAAAUGCCGAUGUGAAAAGAUAUUCUGAGUCUUAACGUAUAUAAAAAACAAAUACUGGGGGGCCAGAUUGCAGCUGACUCCUGUGUUCUGGACAUGACACAACUGCAGCCCUUGCAUUCUCCUUGUGUGCAAGGACUGUUGCUGGCUACCAGUGUUAGCCUGUCUCAUUAGGGGCAUGCAGACAGUCCCACUCCUCUCUCCACACCAGUCGUCAGAGUUGGCUGAUCACUGAGUGGGAAUACACUGUUCCUGUUAAGGGGUGUGGUUGCUGCAUGCUUCCCCUGUACUUGCCUAUGCCUUCUGGAGCUCCUGGUGGGGGACUGGUGCAGAACUACACCACCUGGAUCAUUGUUUUUAAAGCACAGUUUAGCUAAUAGGGCCACAUUUUCAAAAUUGGCCAUUGACUGUGGGUGUCUGGAUUUUCAAUGUUCAACUUGAGGCACCUUGGGUCUGAUUUUCAAAAGUAUUGAGUAUCCAUAACUCCAACUGAGGGCAAAUAAAGGAGAUGUGGGUGUCCAGCACUUCUGAAAGGCCAAAGGUCUCUAAAAUGGGGCACUCACUUUUCAAAACGUUGGCUGAGUAAGCUUUGGUGUGAUCCAGAAAACUAUUAAUGUGAGUGGACCUCCCCUGGACUAGUUGCAUGUUUAGGGGCUACGCCCAUUAUUUAUUUAUAUAUUUAAGUAUUAUUUCAAUUUAUAAUGAUGUAAAAGCACCUCUCUGGGUGCCUUUGAUAUAAUUCAAAAUAACAAUUCAACAACAAAAAACCUGCAACAGAUCCCUAUUGAAACUCCACCCCAACACAAACAAAUUGGAGGGAUUUUUUCCCAUCAAAACUCCUUCUCCAAUAAACAAAUACCACCUUAGUCAGAUGGGCAAAAAGAUGGUUUCACAGCAUGAUCUGAAAUUCACGGGUCCCAGACUGUUUUGGGUGAAAGGUGGAAGCUUGUUCCACAGCUGAGGGGUCAUCCUGGAGAAUGCUGUAUCUUUAGCGCCAGCUUUGAGGGGACUUCAACUUAUCUAUCUCUGCAGUCGGGAACAGCUGCAGGAUGGCAUAGAGGCAGAGGUAGGUCUGAACUGAGUCAGAAAGGGAAGAUGCCAAUAAUUCACCAGACUGGCAGCAUCAAGUGUUGGUUUCUUGAAGCAAGGUCACCCAGAUGCUUCCUUAAGAAAAGUAGGUACUCAGAUCUCCCAAAGGGAGGUGAUGACAAUCUACACCAGUGCUGUACUUACUACUUCACCACUGUUCACCAGACAGGAAAGCAGACAGCUCAAAUCAAAUGUGUUGUGUUCACAAAAUCUGUUAUUUCCUCACAACAGGAGGGAUUCUCAGUAGGUACUGGAAGGAGACAGCCUGUUCUCAUUAGCGAGAAUUGCAGGAGCCAGCCUUUAUAACCAGCAGACGUGGAAACACCUUCUGUGUAAUGAAUUCCUUCCCCCUCAAAGUUAUAAAACGUCAUUAUUUAGCAAAGUACAUGAUUAAAACUAUGAAAAACUUGUACAGGAAAAAGCUGUGUCUCCCACAAACAUCCCUGAAAUCAUAUGCAGCAAAUUCAUUUUCAAAAUGUCAUGUAAAUGUGUGGUUUCAGAGUAACAGCCGUGUUAGUCUGUAUUCGCAAAAAGAAAAGGAGUACUUGUGGCACCUUAGAGACUAACCAAUUUAUU